GAUGAACGCUGGCGGCGUGCUUAACACAUGCAAGUCGAACGGGAAUUACUUUAUUGAAACUUCGGUCGAUUUAAUUUAAUUCUAGUGGCGGACGGGUGAGUAACGCGUGGGUAACCUGCCUUAUACAGGGGGAUAACAGUCAGAAAUGGCUGCUAAUACCGCAUAAGCGCACAGAGCUGCAUGGCUCAGUGUGAAAAACUCCGGUGGUAUAAGAUGGACCCGCGUUGGAUUAGCUUGUUGGUGAGGUAACGGCCCACCAAGGCGACGAUCCAUAGCCGGCCUGAGAGGGUGAACGGUCACAUUGGGACUGAGACACGGCCCAGACUCCUACGGGAGGCAGCAGUGGGGAAUAUUGCACAAUGGGGGAAACCCUGAUGCAGCGACGCCGCGUGAAGGAAGAAGUAUCUCGGUAUGUAAACUUCUAUCAGCAGGGAAGAUAGUGACG
rnacentral:rRNA from 1 species